rnacentral:rRNA from 1 species
GACGAACGCUGGCGGCGUGCUUAACACAUGCAAGUCGAACGGAAAGGCCCUGCUUUUGUGGGGUGCUCGAGUGGCGAACGGGUGAGUAACACGUGAGUAACCUGCCCUUGACUUUGGGAUAACUUCAGGAAACUGGGGCUAAUACCGGAUAGGAGCUCCUGCUGCAUGGUGGGGGUUGGAAAGUUUCGGCGGUUGGGGAUGGACUCGCGGCUUAUCAGCUUGUUGGUGGGGUAGUGGCUUACCAAGGCUUUGACGGGUAGCCGGCCUGAGAGGGUGACCGGCCACAUUGGGACUGAGAUACGGCCCAGACUCCUACGGGAGGCAGCAGUGGGGAAUAUUGCACAAUGGGCGGAAGCCUGAUGCAGCAACGCCGCGUGCGGGAUGACGGCCUUCGGGUUGUAAACCGCUUUCGCCUGUGACGAAGCGUGAGGGACGGUAAUGGGUAAAGAAGCACCGGCUAACUACGUGC